CAUCCUGUAUGGUAGGGGUUAGAGUUAACACUAGGUACACACCCUGUAUGGUAGGGGUUAUAGUUAACACUAGGUACACAUCCUGUAUGGUAGGGGUUAGAGUUAACACUAGGUACACACCCUGUAUGGUAGGGGUUAGAGUUAACACUAGGUACACAUCCUGUAUGGUAGGGGUUAGGGUUAACACUAGGUACACACCCUGUAUGGUAGGGGUUAGGGUUAACACUAGGUACACAUCCUGUAUGGUAGGGGUUAGAGUUAACACUGGGUACACAUCCUGUAUGGUAGGGGUUAGAGUUAACACUGGGUACACACCCUGUAUGGUAGGGGUUAGGGUUAUAGUUAACACUAGGUACACACCCUGUAUGGUAGGGGUUAUAGUUAACACUAGGUACACAUCCUGUAUGGUAGGGGUUAGGGUUAACACUAGGUACACACCCUGUAUGGUAGGGGUUAGAGUUAACACUAGGUACACACCCUGUAUGGUAGGGGUUAGAGUUAACACUAG
rnacentral:lncRNA from 1 species